AAAAAAAAAAAAAAAAAAAAUUAUCCUUUCUUCUUUAAAAAAAAAAAAAAAAAAAAAAAAAAGACAAAAAAAAAAUAAGCGUAACUCCCCUCAAAGCAACAACCCCCCCC